AGAAUACCAGCUUAGCAGGAACCUCGAGCAUCGUCUGUCCCACUAGUCAGUUUUCUGUGGAGCUCAGAAGGCGUUCAUCCAAGCAGAGACGGAUCCUCCUCUGUUGCCAGGCUGAGCGGCUUGCUUGGGCAGGGCAUAGAUUUGCAGACAGACACGGCACAGCCUUCCUACUGCUAUUAGAAACCUCACUCCCACUGUCUCUGGGACACUUCCAGCACGGGACUGAUAGGGGGAAAGCCCAGGGGCUUACACAGACUCCAUAGCCUUACGUAGACACCUCAGACUCCAGGCUGCCAAGACGUGGUCUCUGCUGCGCUGGGUGGCCAGGCAGUCCUGCUGCAGGCAGGGAUCAGUGCCUGGGCACAGGAGUCUGUGUGAGUUCAUGCACACAGCUGAGAAAACGUCUCCUGACACAACAGACACCUUGUGGAUUUUUCCUAGCCAGCCCCAGGCUUUGGGCAUGCAACCGCUGCCACCUGUUGGGCAAUGAGGAAGCUUCCUUUCGGCCUUUGUUUUGUUUUGCCGGCUGAGGCUUGUUGGCCUGUGUGGUGGGUACCACAGCCUGAAACAAGAUCUUCAGCUGUGUGUCUGUGUUAACAGAGCAUGUUUAAUUUCUAGGACACCUCUGCAUCUUGCUUGUGAGAAUGGGCAUGCAGAUGUCAUUCGGUUUCUGGCAGGAAAUCAGUGCCACCUCGAUCCUUGUGACAAAGACAAGAAAACGCCGCUGAUGAGAGCAGUAGAGCUCAAGCACGAAGACUGUGUAGCUACUCUGCUGGAGCUCGGUGCCUGAACUGACCUCAGAGAUUUUGUUGGCAACACUGCCCUUCACCUGGCUACCUCAGUAAAGAGUAAAUGUCUAGUGGAGCUGUUACUGGAGCACAAUGCCCAUACUGAUGCUGUGAAUGAGCUUGGACAAACUCCACUUGCUGAGGCAGUCUGUAUGCACUGCGAAGAGAUAGUUGAGUUGCUGCUUCAGGAAGGAGCUGACGUAAAUGCUCGUUUUAAGAGUGAAAGGUAAAGGGUUUGUCAGGAGUGCAUGUGGAACUCCUUAGCACUGUCCAAGUUGGUUUGGUGGGAGGAAUAGAAAUUAUCUUUGAAAAAGUACCAGGAGCUGCUUGGAGGAGCUCCUUCUGUGUGACCUGCACUUGGCUGCUCUCUUACCUCAGGGGAUGGUUUCCGCACUGAGGACUGCAAGAAAGCACUGCCACACACAUGCACAUAUGCCCUGAACCUGCUCUGGGCACAGGGUUGGCCUGGAGACCUCCUGAGGUCCCACCGACCUGAAUUCUCCAACGCUUCCACGUAUUUGGCUGUGCUUUCGCUCUGCCUGUAGGAGAGGGGAAAUUAAUUGGGGAGCAAAGAGGAACUGAAGUAAUGGCAAUGCGAUGUCCACAGAAGCUGAUGUAUUUCCUGUCAUCUCUUGGACCCUUUAGGACUGCUCUUAUGAUUGCUGUUAUGGUUGGGGAUUUGAAUAUAAUACAGACUCUUCAUCGGCAUGGUGCUGAUCCUUUUUGU